UACGAACCCGACAAACGUUAUUCGGAAUUAUUGGGCUUAAAGGGUGCGUAGGCGGUGCGGUAAGUGCGGUGUGAAAUCCCUCGGCUCAACCGAGGAAUUGCGCUGCAUACUGCCGUGCUGGAGGGAGACAGAGGUAAGCGGAACUGAUGGUGGAGCGGUGAAAUGCGUUGAUAUCAUCAGGAACACCGGUGGCGAAAGCGGCUUACUGGGUCUCUUCUGACGCUGAGGCACGAAAGCUAGGGUAGCGAAC
rnacentral:rRNA from 1 species